ensembl:snRNA U4 U4 spliceosomal RNA
AGCUUUGCGCAGUGGCAGUAUCGUAGCUAAUGAGGUUUAUCCGAGGCGCGGUUAUUGCUCAUUGAAAGAAUGAAUGAAUAAUCAA